rnacentral:rRNA from 1 species
UUUAGUUUUGUUGGGCAUUCGGUGGAUGCCUUGGCAUCAAGAGCUGAUGAAGGACGUUGCGGCCUGCGAUAUGCCUCGGGGAGUUGGCGAGCGAGCUUUGAUCCGAGGGUGUCCGAAUGGGGGAACCUAACCAGGGUUGUGCUUGGUUACCAUCAUCUGAACGUGUAUAGGGUGGUGGGGGGAACGCGGGGAAGUGAAACAUCUUAGUACCCGUAGGAAAAGAUAUUCCGUCAGUAGUGGCGAGCGAAAGCGGAGGAGGCUAAACCGUGUGCGUGUGAUACUCGGCGGGGGUUGCGUGUGCGGUGUUGUGGGGCUUGUUCGUCUCUUCUCUGCCGGGGAGGGGCUUGCGUGUGUGAUGGUAGUUGAACCGUGUGGGAUAGCGGACCGGAGUGCGUGAUAGUCGUGUAGAUGGACUGUUGCAUGCGCAGGUGGGAUAGGUGCCCGAGUAGUGCGGGACUCGUGAAAUCUCGUGUGAAUCUGCCAGGACCACCUGGUAAGCCUAAAUACUUCUUGAUGACCGAUAGUGCAUAGUACCGUGAGGGAAUGGUGAAAAGUACCCCGGGAGGGGAGUGAAAUAGUACCUGAAACCGUGUGCCUUUAAGCCGUCAGAGCCUUGUGGGGUGAUGGCGUGCCUUUUGAAGAAUGAGCCUGCGAGUCAGUGAUACGUGGCGUGCUUAACCCGUGUGGGGUAUGCGUAGCGAAAGCGAGUCUGAAAUAUGGCGUUUGUCGCGUGUUCUGGACCCGAAGCGGGGUGAUCUACCCAUGGCCAGGUUGAAGCAGAGGUAAGACUGUGUGGAGGACCGAACCCACCAGGGUUGAAAACCUGGGGGAUGAGCUGUGGGUAGGGGUGAAAGGCCAAUCAAACUCCGUGAUAGCUGGUUCUCCCCGAAAUGCAUUUAGGUGCAGCGUUGUGUGUUGCCUGGUGGAGGUAGAGCUACUGGAUGGCCGAUGGGCCCUAUGGGUUACUGACGUCAGCCAAACUCCGAAUGCCAUUAGGUUGAGCAUGGCAGUGAGACUGCGGGGGAUAAGCUUCGUAGUCGAGAGGGAAACAGCCCAGAUCAUCAGCUAAGGCCCCUAAGUGUGCGCUAAGUGGGAAAGGAUGUGAGAUCGCGGUGACAACCAGGAGGUUGGCUUAGAAGCAGCCAUCCUUGAAAGAGUGCGUAAUAGCUCACUGGUCAAGUGGUUUCGCGCCGACAAUGUAGCGGGGCUUAAGCGUACCGCCGAAGCUGUGGCACUCACACAUAAAAGCCUGGGCAGGGGACCUGCCUAAGGUUGUGUGGGUGGGUAGGGGAGCGUCCUGCGUGCGGUGAAGCCUGCUGGGAACGGUUGGUGGAGCGUGUGGGAGUGAGAAUGCAGGCAUGAGUAACGAAUGGCGGGUGAGAAUCCCGUCCGCCGAUUGACUAAGGGUUCCAGGGCUAGGUUUAUCCGCCCUGGGUUAGUCGGGUCCUAAGGCGAGGCCGACAGGCGUAGUCGAUGGACAACCAGUUGAUAUUCUGGUACCGCGUUGUGACCGCCAAAUACUGAAGCUUUUAUGCUAACCACCCGCACCUCAACUGUUCAUUCCUUCGGGUUUGAACAGCCAGGGUGUUGUGGGAUCCUGAUUGUUGUAGGUAAGCGUGUUAACAGGGGUGACACAGGAAGGUAGCUGCCGCGCACCGAUGGUUGUGUGUGUCUAAGGUUGUGGCCCGUCUGCCAGGCAAAUCCGGCAGACACGUAGGGUGAGGACUGAUGGGGGUGCCCCUUGGGGGUGUCUGGUGGUGAUCCUAAGCUGUCAAGAAAAGCCUCGACGUCAGGGCAUGACGCGCCCGUACCCUAAACCGACUCAGGUGGUCAGGUAGAGUAUACCGAGGCGUUCGAGUGAAUCAUGGUUAAGGAACUCGGCAAAAUUCCUCCGUAACUUCGGGAUAAGGAGGACCCCGUGACGUUCCCCCAACUUCUGGGUGCGAGCGUUGUGGGGUCGCAGAGAAUAGGGAGAAGCGACUGUUUAUCAAAAACACAGGUGCGUGCGAAGUCGUAAGACGAUGUAUACGCACUGACGCCUGCCCGGUGCUGGAAGGUUAAGAGGAAGGCUCAACCACCUUUGGUGGUGAAGGCUUGAAUUUAAGCCCCAGUAAACGGCGGUGGUAACUAUAACCAUCCUAAGGUAGCGAAAUUCCUUGUCGGGUAAGUUCCGACCUGCACG